rnacentral:rRNA from 1 species
AACCAACGCUGGCGGCGUGCCUAAUACAUGCAAGUCGAACGGGGAAAGUAGCAAUAUGAGUACUAGUGGCGCACGGGUGAGUAACGCGUGGAUAAUCUGCCUUGAAGAGGGGGAUAACUAGUCGAAAGAUUAGCUAAUACCGCAUAAGACCACAAGAACUGAGGUUCAAGGGGUCAAAGGUUUUUCGCUUCAAGAUGAGUCCGCGUAAGAUUAGCUAGUUGGUGAGGUAAUGGCUCACCAAGGCAACGAUCUUUAACUGGUCUGAGAGGAUGAUCAGUCACACGGGAACGGAGACACGGUCCAGACUACUACGGGAGGCAGCAGUAGGGAAUAUUGCACAAUGGAGGAAACUCUGAUGCAGCGACGCCGCGUGAGUGAUGAAGGCCUUCGGGUCGUAAAGCUCUGUCGCAGGGGAAUAACACAAUGAAUGUACCCUGUAAGAAAGGAUCGGCUAACUUCGUG